rnacentral:lncRNA from 1 species
UCUCGAUCUCACGCGGGACAACAGCAGGAUCAUCGACGACACCGCCUAUGUUUACAACAACCACCUUGCGCGAGAGCAGUCGCGACGUUGUUUUCUCUCCAUCUUGAAACGCUCGAAGAAAAACUAUCUUGAAAAAGAAGCUUCGUUUCUUCAAACGCCAGAGGAACUCUUGAACAAAACAACGUGGAAAAUACUUCUAAUACUUAAAAUACCGUAAAAACGAAUUAUAGUUUUGAUGCUACGUUGACAUCAUUUUGACUGCUUAUUUUCACUAAUUGUAUUGAAACAUAUCAAGAAUCCCAGAGCGCAGUCACAGUUCCUGCCGCCUUAGUACGGAGGAAAUUAUCAUUCGCAUCCCUGUUUUGUACAGCCCUGGCCACUGCACAUGCACAUGCACUAACGAAUCGAUGGUACGCGGUACCUCGUGCACGUCGUAGUAGCGUAUUCCCAUAGUAAAGAGGUUGUCGUGAAUAAUACCUUCGCGGAAAAGCGUCCACUUGAGCGGGACGGGUAGUACGGUCGCGUAGUAGCGGCCCGGUAGUACGGCUUCGCGUAUGAAUGGAUGUGGAGCACGCGCGUGUUCCCGAUGAAAGGAUCAGCGUGGUGAAAGGGGUGAAACGAGAGCGACCGAAGAGGAGAAAGGAGUUACCCGGGGUCAAUGAUACCCCGGGCUUCAUAUCGACUGCGCUUGAAUCGAUGGAAAGGCAAGAUACUAUUUACGAGCCGAGCCGAGCCGAGCGGUGAGAACGCGAAUUUUACCGGUGUUUCUAAUCGAGUAAUCAGUAGACGCGUACGAGUAAUCGCGGGUCAGGUACAUUGUCUUUGUAACGACACGCAAGUGUAAGGAGAAAUUUUUGCAACAAUCGGAGAAUCGAAGAGAAUUAUAUUCUUGAUCUCAACGUCUGGUUAAGCAAGUGCACAAAUUUUAUUUGUUAUACUAUUUAAAUAUUUAUUUUAUUGUAAGCUGAGAUCACAAAGAAUAAAACUAUAGACAAUUAUACAAUU